CACCUUUGCAUUUUCUUUUCUCUUUUCGUUGCUCUUUUUCCUCUGUUACACUUCUCUUCUUUUUUCAGGAAUACUUGACUGCUUCCACCUUAUAUACUUAAUUCGCCUCUCUUAUUGAAUGAAGCGAAUAGCUUGCUAUUUUCUUUCAAAAAAAAAAAUCCAAAAAUGAAAAACUAUGAAAAAAAAAAAUUUCUACGAAAAACUUGCUUUCCGAAAAAUAAUUUUUCAUUAUUAUUUCUCGAGAAACC
rnacentral:lncRNA from 1 species